AGGACGAACGCUGGCGGCGUGCUUAACACAUGCAAGUCGAGCGAGGCUCCUCCUUCGGGAGGAUGCCCUAGCGGCGAACGGGUGAGUAACACGUGGGCAACCUGCCCCUAGCACUGGGAUAACCCCGGGAAACCGGGGCUAAUACCGGAUACGACUUCGGAAGGCAUCUUCUGAAGUGGAAAAGGUUACUGGCUAGGGAUGGGCCCGCGGCCUAUCAGCUUGUUGGUGGGGUAAUGGCCCACCAAGGCGACGACGGGUAGCCGGCCUGAGAGGGCGACCGGCCACACUGGGACUGAGACACGGCCCAGACUCCUACGGGAGGCAGCAGUGGGGAAUAUUGCACAAUGGGCGAAAGCCUGAUGCAGCGACGCCGCGUGAGGGAUGACGGCCUUCGGUUGUAAACCUCUUUCAGCAGGGACGAAGCGAAAGUGACGGUACCUGCAGAAGAAGCACCGGCCAACUACGCGCCAGCAGCCGC
rnacentral:rRNA from 1 species